rnacentral:misc_RNA from 1 species
UUUUGGCACAGUUCAGAGAGGCCAAAGUCGGCUAUUAAACUGCUCGACAUCUAUUACAAAUCAGUAGGCAGGAACUGUCUGCUAAUACUCAAUGUUCCACCCAAUUCAUCAGGCCUCAUAUCAGCAGAGGAUCUUCAAGUGCUUCAAGAAUUUACCGCACUUCGGCAAACUAUAUUUUCUCAUAACUUGGCCCAGGAUGCUAUUGUUACUGCAACCAGCACACGAGGCGGUGCAGAGAAUCCCGA